AAGAUGCCCUGGAGAAAGGCUCUACCGGUCUUUCUAGGUAGGAAAUAUCUGUGAUUCUAGGUAGAAAUUUCUUUUAACUACAACUGAUUUAAAACAUUUUUUUCUUUCUGUCUUUAUUUUUUCUUCUUCUCAUUUCUUCCCCUCCUCCCCCUUCCCAGUAUUCUUCGGCCCUAAGAGUGGCCGGGCUUGGCUCUGACCACCCACAUCCGUAUCCUUUUAAUUUGCAGCUUUGGGUAGCCGUGAAUGGAAGAGGAGGCUGUGAAUUAGAAGUGAGGCUGCCUUAGGCCACCAGCCUGGGAAGGAAGGAGGGGGGCACCGGGUGUGAUUGAUGGAGGCCUUCUGGCUGACACUGCCCACUGCCUCACUCCUCCUCCCUUCACUGAGACAGUCAGCAAGAGCAUCUGGUUUAAAAAGAACCGAGGAGUGUUGCAGAGAUGGUGAAAUGUUAGGAUUCCAUAGCCAGGAGGGAGUGAUGGAGCUGAGAAGAAUGGCAGAGAAGGAAGAAAUGGUGGCUAUGACAAUAGUGUUGAAUCCUUUGAACUGUGUAAUGGACUUGGGUGACAAGAACUUCCUGGGAGGAUGACUGAAGGUGCACAGCUGGUGGAAGCAUUGCCAUUCCCAAGGUUCUUGGGUUCCAGGGCUGAGAGGAGAUGAUGGUGAUCAAGACAUGGCGGUGGUUGGACUUGUCUGGCAUGUGCUGCCUCUUGUCUGUCCCUCAAGGUGACCACCUAGCCUUUAUGUGGUACCUUAGUAUUUGCGAACUUGUUUUCUCAUUU
rnacentral:lncRNA from 1 species